rnacentral:rRNA from 1 species
ACACUCCUGCGGGAGGCAGCAGUGGGGAAUUUUGGACAAUGGGCGCAAGCCUGAUCCAGCCAUGCCGCGUGCGGGAAGAAGGCCUUCGGGUUGUAAACCGCUUUUGUCAGGGAAGAAAAGGUUCUGGCUAAUACCUGGGACUCAUGACGGUACCUGAAGAAUAAGCACCGGCUAACUACGUGCCAGCAGCCGCGGUAAUACGUAGGGUGCAAGCGUUAAUCGGAAUUACUGGGCGUAAAGCGUGCGCAGGCGGUUAUGCAAGACAGAGGUGAAAUCCCCGGGCUCAACCUGGGAACUGCCUUUGUGACUGCAUGGCUAGAGUACGGUAGAGGGGGAUGGAAUUCCGCGUGUAGCAGUGAAAUGCGUAGAUAUGCGGAGGAACACCGAUGGCGAAGGCAAUCCCCUGGACCUGUACUGACGCUCAUGCACGAAAGCGUGGGGAGCAAACAGGAUUAGAAACCCCAGUAGUCCCAUGAU